CCCGCGCGCCUUGUCUGCACCGCGCGAGCUGUCAAACCGCCUCCGACGGGCACCCCGCUCGAACGCACCUAUAUUGGCCGAACUCGCGAUCGGUUUCUUGUUCACAGUGUGUGAUUCGUAAUACUCGCAUGACGAAUAACAAAUUAAGGAGAUGAACGGCAGUGCAACGACGGUGAAUGGUGGCGCCGUCAAUGGCACCAAUGGAUCUCUCAAUGGAAUCGGAGCCGCUCCUCGUACAGCGACUCUUGGGACUCCGAGUAGCUAUGCGUAUACGUCCAGCGGCUCGCUACUUGGCAGAGGAGGUUCCGCUAGGCCCGUGCCACCGCCGACAUUGCCAAAAUAUAGUGGAUCGUUCAGUGCUGGAAGCACGUUAAGCUCGACCGGGUUGAGGGAGAGGGACAGAGAGGGUACUGGUGGAUCACAUCGACUAGCAAGCUUGGAAAGACUAGCGCUUCGACAGCGCAUUAUAGAACAAAAUGCAAAUAAUCAGGUGGCGAGCACUUUAGCGCCGAAUACUGCAGCGACGAAUGGUGGACCUACCUCAGCCACCGUUACCCUUACCGAUACAGCCACCUUGCAAAGUAAACGCGAGCUGUUCUUCAAGUCGGAAUCGGUGAGCAGCGGCGGAGUGAGCGCAACGGGGCUGCCGAACGUUGCGCCGCCUGCUCCGCCGCUUGCGCCUUCCUCUAUCAAGGACGCGCUCGCGAAGCGUGCUGCGACGCUACCGGAGCCCCAAGAGAACAACCAUUUGGAGGCGAAUGGGACUGCUCCUCCCAAUAAAUUGAGUUCCAGUGCAUCGGUGGACGUUGGGAAGAGUGCACCACCACAGAUGCCAGCGCCGCCGGUACCAACCUCCGCGCCGCCACCAGCACCACUCAGAAGUACAGAAAACAUUAUAAAGAAACCAGAUCAUCCACCAGUUGCACCUAAACCGGACAUACCUAAGAUAGAAAAGCCUAAGACCAAAGAAUUAGAUGGAUAUGUCGGAUUCGCAAAUCUACCCAAUCAAGUGUACAGAAAGGCUGUUAAAAAGGGAUUCGAAUUCACAUUGAUGGUUGUCGGUGAGACCGGUUUGGGCAAGUCGACAUUAAUCAAUUCGUUGUUUUUGACCGAUGUGUACGAUAAGGACAAGCACCCCGGGCCUUCGCUGCGGGUCAAGAAGACGGUCGGCGUCGAAACCAGUGUUGUGCUCCUUAAAGAAAAUGGAGUUAACCUAACACUGACUAUCGUGGACACACCUGGGUUUGGAGACGCUGUUGAUAACAGCAAUUGCUGGCAACCCAUUAUCGAUUUCGUGGAGUCUAAAUACGAGGAGUUCUUGAACGCCGAGUCGCGGGUGACCCGCCAGGCGGCACCCCCAGACACGCGCGUCCAUUGCUGCCUGUACUUCAUCGCGCCCAGCGGCCACGGGCUCAAACCGCUCGAUGUAGAGUUCAUGCAGCGCCUCGGCGAUAAGGUCAACAUCAUACCCGUCAUUGCGAAGGCGGACACUAUGACGCCGGAGGAAUGCAAGGAUUUCAAAGAACAGAUAAUGAAAGAGAUCGGCCAGCACAAGAUCAAGAUCUACGACUUCCCGGAGAGCACGGGCGAGGAGGGCGAGGCGGCGGACGCGACGAAGGCGCUGCGCGCGCGCGUGCCCUACGCGGUCGUCGGCGCCAACACCGUCAUCGAGCAGGACGGCCGCCGCGUGCGCGGCCGCAAGUACCCCUGGGGGAUCGCCGAGGUUGAGAACCUCGAACACUGCGACUUCCUGGCGCUGAGGAACAUGGUGAUACGAACUCACCUCCAGGACCUGAAGGACGUGACCAGCUCGGUUCAUUACGAGAACUACAGGUGUCGCAAGCUCGCUGGCCUCUCGCAUGACGGCAUCCCGCACAGAAUCAACUCGAACAAGAAUCCAUUAGCUCAAAUGGAAGAGGAAAAGAGAGAACAUGACCUCAAGAUGAAGAAAAUGGAGAGUGAAAUGGAACAGGUGUUCGACUUGAAAGUGCGCGAGAAGCGCGCCAAGCUGAAAGAGUCGGAGGCGGAGCUGGCGCGGCGGCACGAGGCGACGCGGCGCGCGCUCGAGGCGCAGGCGCGCGAGCUGGAGGAGCGCCAGCGCGCGCUGCACGCCGAGCAGGCCGCCUGGGAGCGGGAGACCGGCCUCUCGCUCGACGACCUGCGCCGCCGCUCGCUCGAGGCGAACAGCAAGGAGACGGUGGACGGCAAGGAUAAAAAGGAUAAGAAAAAGAAAGGUAAAUAUUCGACAUAUCGUAAUGUGUUGAAGAAAUAUACCUUGUAACUUGUAACAUGAAAUUGCUAUAUCGUAUGGCGUUUCGUGCCAUUAACUUUAAAAGUGCCAUUUCAGGAAAAUAACGGAGGAUUCUUUUGGUUUCUUGCUAAUACUAUUGGUCAUUUAAGAAUGUCACAAGCGGAAUAGCCCUAUAAUGACUGAAUGUCACGGAGUGUGGCGCGAUUAGUAUUACGUUCCCUAUAAUAACGAUCGAACAACGAUUACAAAAGACUACAAUGAAUUUAUCAAUGUAAUGAUCCAUCGUCAGUUAAGUAAUUAUAAUACAGGAUUGUUUGACUUUCUCGUAAUACAUUUUCCAUGACAAAGCAUUUAUUUCGAUAAAGGCCUAAUUUUGUAUAAUUUUUAUUUUUAAUGUUUUUUUAUCUACUGUUGGUAAUGAAAACCUCUUAUGUCAUCGAUAUAUAUUUUUAAGCACAACAUUUUUGGCUUUUAAUUCGACAAAUACGUCCGCCAAGUUGCCAAAGUAGUGUAUGAUUAGGAAAAUGAUAAUUAUACAGCAUUUUACCACCCGACGUCUGUAAAACGUGUUUUAUAAAAAUCGCUCAACAUCGGAAACUACUGUUUUUUAAUUUCUCCUCGCGUAGUUAUUAAACGCUAGUGUCUCAAAUUUUAAAAGUUAAUUUCUUACGUAAACUAUAAGGAUUCACGAUUUAGUAGUGAUUUGAACAAUUUAUACUAGGAACACAAUUCUAAAUUUUGAAGUGGAUUUAGAUAUUUUUUAUAUCUUUACUAAAUUAUUCAUUAAGCUUAAUCGAGACAGCAAUUUUCGUGGUGUGUUGAGUGGCACGACGUUUGAUUACACAUCGGUAUAUUGUGCUUAGUGAUAUUCAAGUAUGCUCAUAGUUCAGUUGUGAAAUAGCCUCUAGCUUUAGCUAGGAUAUAGAAUUUCUUUAUAUUACGUAAUACGUUAGGUGAAUGUGUGAGAACCGCUGGCCAACGAUAGGGUUAUCGGACCGAAUCCAAACAAACUGCCUUCAGUUAUUCCUAUUGUAACAAAUACAGAUAUUCUAUACUGUUGUGAAUGAUACGUAAUUUAUGUUAUUCCAUAUUAGCCUCUUAGACUAUAAUCUAUAUUAUUGACUUUUCCUGUAAAUAUUUCGUUUAGACUUUACAUGACAAAGGUAUAUUCAAGUUGCUCUUAAUCACGUUACUUUUGUGAAAUUGCAUAAUCUUUAUUUAAUCUAUAGCAUGGUUAAAUGUUUGUAUUUCAAACACCACAGUAUUGACUUCCGCGUUGAAAUUAGUAUCGUAGAUGUAAGUGUAAUGCUUAAUUUUUAUAUUUUGUGUAGGGUCGCGACCCAAUUUACCGCAUAGAUCAUUUGCACAGUCAUAACAAGGGAUGUGAUGUAAGUUGGAAAGCGAUGACGUUCAGACGAUGUAAUAUAUUGUACCUUUGAAUAAAUAUAAAUAAAUACGUAAUAUAUAGGAA
rnacentral:misc_RNA from 1 species